UACAGAGGGUGCAAGCGUUAAUCGGAUUUACUGGGCGUAAAGCGUGUGCAGGUGGUUGGGAAAGUCAAUUGUGAAAUCCCCGGGCUUAACUCGGGAACUGCUUUUGAUACUGUCUGACUAGAAUUCGGUAGAGGGAGGCGGAACUCCAGGGUGUAGCGGUGAAAUGCGUAGAUAUCUGGAAGAACACCAAUUGCGAAGGCAGCUCGCUGGGACGUACUGACGCUGGAGACGCGAAACGUGGGGAGCAAACAGGA
rnacentral:rRNA from 1 species